CCUACGGGUGGCAGCAGUGAGGAAUAUUGGUCAAUGGGCGUAAGCCUGAACCAGCCAAGUCGCGUGAGGGAUGAAGGUUCUAUGGAUCGUAAACCUCUUUUAUAAGGGAAUAAAGUGUGGGACGUGUCCUAUUUUGUAUGUACCUUAUGAAUAAGGAUCGGCUAACUCCGUGCCAGCAGCCGCGGUAAUACGGAGGCUCCGUGCGUUUUCCGGAUUUAUUGGGGUUAAAGGGUGCAUAGGCGGCCUUUUAAGUCCGCGGUGAAAGUCUGUGGCUCAACCAUGGAAUUGCAGUUGAAACUGGGGGGCUUGAGUAUGUUUGAGGCAGGCGGAAGGCGUGGUGUAGCGGUGAAAUGCGUAGAUAUCACGCAGAACCCCGAUUGCGAAGGCAGCCUGCCAAGCCAUGACUGACGCUGAUGCACGAAAGCGUGGGGAUCAAACAGGAUUAGAUACCCCAGUAGUC
rnacentral:rRNA from 1 species